rnacentral:lncRNA from 1 species
AUGAAUCAAAUAAGAAAGCAAUAAAGACUCAAAAGCCUAAAAGAAAAUAGCAACUCAAAGGUGUAUGGAAUCCUAUCACAAUUUGCACAAGAACUUGUUCAAGAUCAAUUGAACAAAAGUGCUUCGGUUGGAUCUUCCACAAAGCACACCAAAACAAAUUAAAAUGCAAAAAACAGCAAGACAAUUAUGGAAAAGAUAAACAACAUGAAAUAAAAGAAGAACUAGAAAUGAAAAGACCAAAAGCAACUCAUCUUGAAGAACCCAAGCUCAUGAUACCAAAUGAUGGCAUUUCAUGAAGGUCUUCUUGAAUCAUGUAAGAAAAGUGGUGCGGAAGCUAUGAAGGUGUG